rnacentral:tRNA from 1 species
UGUUCUGUGGCUUAGUUGGUGCAAGUACCGGUCUAACGGAUACGGGGUCGUGGGUUCGAAUUCCACCAGAACGC